UUGGUUCAUGAUUGCCUGCGCCUUGUAUAUCUUUUGAUGCAAAAUGUUCGAACCCAAUCAAACACCAAGUAUUUUGUUCACAAGUCUAGGCUUACAUUACAGUGAUAAAGGACUCGAACAUUAAACGGACCAAUAGAGUUGCAUCAAGUGGUUAAAGUAACAAGCCAAAUCCGUAUAGUACAUAUAACCUUCUGGUCUUAAUCAAUUUGCUGGAAUGGAUUGCACAGGGCAAAGUUUUUUUGCAGGAACAACUCUUAGCAUAGCACGGACUCUAUUUUGAUCAAAUCUACUAGACAAAAAGCAUAUCAUCUGUUUGUCAUCUCAAGUUUGCCAAAGGCAAAAUACAACAAAACUAUCCUUUCCAACAUGCUUAUGUACCCAAAAGAUGAGCUGCACGAGGAAGAAAUAAAAAAUAAUGCCAAGACAUUCUCAACAAGGUAAUUUCACCUUAAAUUGCCUUCUCUCCAGGACAUGCUCUGGAGAACAAGAUGAUACCCAAAGACUGUCCUGAUUGGAUCUAGGGGGAAGCUUUUGAAACUUCAACUCUCAAUGCACUGUCUUUUCAACUCGUGAUCAUCUUUCCCUUCAGUCUCUUCUUCCCGUUCAAUAUCAUGUCUUUUAAACAGGUGAUCAUCUUUCCCUUCA
rnacentral:lncRNA from 1 species